GCUUAUGGGGUUGAAGUGUUGUGCAAGCUGGAGAUUAGAUGAGCUUCUAAUUCCUUGAAGCAUUUUCUCUUGGUCUGGUUAUUAUCAACGAAAAUUUACACCAAGUUAUGGAUCUUGAUCGCAGAUCAAUACCAUAAGAAAAAGAAUAUUACACUAACCAAACAAUAGAAUUAUGUAAAGUAAUCAAUAUACAUCUAAUUCUAUUGUAUCAUUUAUUUAAUUUGUGCCCACUCGAUCAACAACAAUAAAUUUUAUUUUUUGGCUAGCAAGAAAUCAUUUGAAUAGAGAGAGAAGGAUAUAUCAAGAUAGAGGAU
rnacentral:lncRNA from 1 species